rfam:Ixodes scapularis strain Wikel colony gcontig_1108378438858, whole genome shotgun sequence.
GCAGUGGUGGUCGAGUGGUUAAGGUGAUGGACUAGAAAUUUAUUGGGGUCUCCCUGCACAGGUUCAAAUCCUGUUGACUGCG